rnacentral:rRNA from 2 species
GAUGAACGCUGGCGGCGCGCCUAACACAUGCAAGUCGAACGGUUAAAGCACCUUUUAGGUGUGUAUAAAGUGGCGAACGGCUGAGUAACACGUGGGCAACCUGCCCUCCUCUUGGGGAUAGCCUCGGGAAACCGAGGAUAAUACCCGAUACUUCAAUGUGGCCGCAUGACGACAUUGAGAAAGCUUUUGCGGAGAAGGAUGGGCCCGCGGCCUGUUAGCUUGUUGGUGGGGUAGAGGCCUACCAAGGCAAUGAUGGGUAGCUGGGUUGAGAGACCGACCAGCCAGAUUGGGACUGAGACACGGCCCAGACUCCUACGGGAGGCAGCAGUGGGGAAUCUUGCACAAUGGGCGAAAGCCUGAUGCAGCGACGCCGCGUGCGGGACGAAGGCCUUCGGGUUGUAAACCGCUUUCAGCAGGGACGAGGCGAAAGUGACGGUACCUGCAGAAGAAGCCCCGGCUAACUACGUGCCAGCAGCCGCGGUAAUACGUAGGGGGCAAGCGUUAUCCGGAUUCAUUGGGCGUAAAGCGCUCGUAGGCGGUCUGUUAGGUCGGGAGUUAAAUCCGGAGGCUCAACCUCCGCCCGCUCCCGAUACCGGCAGACUUGAGUUUGGUAGGGGAAGGUGGAAUUCCUAGUGUAGCGGUGGAAUGCGCAGAUAUUAGGAAGAACACCAGUGGCGAAGGCGGCCUUCUGGGCCAUAACUGACGCUGAGGAGCGAAAGCUAGGGGAGCAAACAGG